CUCAAAUGAAUUGACGGGGGCCCGCACAAGCGGUGGAGCAUGUGGUUUAAUUCGAUGCAACGCGAAGAACCUUACCUGGUCUUGACAUCCACGGAAGUUUUCAGAGAUGAGAAUGUGCCUUCGGGAACCGUGAGACAGGUGCUGCAUGGCUGUCGUCAGCUCGUGUUGUGAAAUGUUGGGUUAAGUCCCGCAACGAGCGCAACCCUUAUCCUUUGUUGCCA
rnacentral:rRNA from 3 species